GACGUAGGGCGCGAGCGUUGUCCGGAUUUAUUGGGCGUAAAGAGCUCGUAGGCGGCUUGUCGCGUCGAAUGUGAAAACUCGGGGCUCAACUCCGAGCUUGCAUUCGAUACGGGCAGGCUAGAGUUCGGUAGGGGGAGACUGGAAUUCCUGGUGUAGCGGUGAAAUGCGCAGAUAUCAGGAGGAACACCGGUGGCGAAGGCGGAUCUCUGGGCCGUAACUGACGCUGAGGAGCGAAAGCAUGGGGAGCGAACAGG
rnacentral:rRNA from 1 species